rnacentral:rRNA from 1 species
CCUACGGGUGGCUGCAGUGGGGAAUAUUGCACAAUGGGGGAAACCCUGAUGCAGCGACGCCGCGUGAGUGAAGAAGUAAUUCGUUAUGUAAAGCUCUAUCAGCAGGGAAGAAAAUGACGGUACCUGAGUAAGAAGCCCCGGCUAACUACGUGCCAGCAGCCGCGGUAAUACGUAGGGGGCAAGCGUUAUCCGGAUUUACUGGGUGUAAAGGGAGCGUAGGCUGUGAGGUAAGUCAGCGGUGAAAUGCCCCCGCUCAAGGGGGUGAAGUGCCAUUGAUACUGCCUUGCUGGAAUGCGGAUGCCGUGGGAGGAAUGUGUGGUGUAGCGGUGAAAUGCAUAGAUAGAACACAGAACACCGAUUGCGAAGGCAUAUAACGAAUCCGCGAUUGACGCUGAUGCACGAAAGCGUGGGUAUCAAACAGGAUUAGAUACCCUUGUAGUC